CCCUCCACCCAAAGAGGUUCUCGCAUUGACUCUGAGGAAUCUGGUCACACAAGCUGCCCUCUUUCUCCAAACUCAAGCUGGCAUCAGAGGUGCAACAGACCCAGGAUGUGAGGGUCAUUGGGAAGUUUGUUGCUGCCUGGUGGGUUGGGAGUGCUCUGUGGUGCAGAAGACAGAGAAGGUCCUUUCUGUGAGCAACCCCUGAGUGAAAUAAGCCAUAAUCAAAGAUCCUCUGCCCUGGUGCCAGGAGACCGUCAUUGAUACCACAGUACCAUCGAUAUUUCCCAGGCAUGGGUCAGACUUCCUAUUCUAAACCCCCUCCAUAGGAGGAUCCCAAUUUGCCCUCCAGCUUUGGCACAAAUCUUCAAAUUUCAAGAUGAAAACCAAAGUCCUGUCUCAGGAAUUAAUUGCCUUCAUUGAAUCAUCCUUAGAGUUUGGAAAUCUUCGGGAAACAGUUUCUGCAAUCAGCAGAGCUCUGGGUGACAUUGAGAAAGCCCCACUGAACACUGCAGUGAUGGGGGAGACUGGGGCUGGAAAGUCCAGUCUCAUCAAUGCUCUACAGGGAGUGGAGGCUGACGAAGGAGUUUGUUUAUGUAGUGGAUUACAUCGAUGGAUUUCCAUAUAUUGAACCAUUCCUGCAUCCCUGGGAUGAAGCCUACUUGAUCGUGGUGAAUGAUCUUUUUGAUAUG